rnacentral:rRNA from 1 species
GACGAACGCUGGCGGCGUGCCUAAUACAUGCAAGUCGAACGCUGAAGGAGGAGCUUGCUCUUCUGGAUGAGUUGCGAACGGGUGAGUAACGCGUAGGUAACCUGCCUGGUAGCGGGGGAUAACUAUUGGAAACGAUAGCUAAUACCGCAUAAGAGUAGAUGUUGCAUGACAUUUACUUAAAAGGUGCAAUUGAAUCACUACCAGAUGGACCUGCGUUGUAUUAGCUAGUUGGUGGGGUAACGGCUUACCAAGGCGACGAUACAUAGCCGACCUGAGAGGGUGAUCGGCCACACUGGGACUGAGACACGGCCCAGACUCCUACGGGAGGCAGCAGUAGGGAAUCUUCGGCAAUGGACGGAAGUCUGACCGAGAAACGCCGCGUGAGUGAAGAAGGUUUUCGGAUCGUAAAGCUCUGUUGUAAGAGAAGAACGAGUGUGAGAGUGGAAAGUUCACACUGUGACGGUAUCUUACCAGAAAGGGACGGCUAACUACGUG